UUGGCCGUAGCUCAAUGGGAGAGCGCCAGGUCGUGACCCUGGAGAUGCCGGUUCGAUCCCGGCCGGUCACC
rnacentral:tRNA from 1 species